GUGCUCGCUUCAGCAGCACAUAUAUUAAAGUUGGAACUACACAAAGAAGAUUUGCAUGGGCCCUGAGCAAGAAUGACAUUGAAAUUUGUGAAAUUUAAAACAAAAAC